UACGGGGGGGGUAAGCGUUGUUCGGAAUUACUGGGCGUAAAGGGCUCGUAGGCGGCCAACUAAGUCAUACGUGAAAUCCCUCAGCUUAACUGGGGAACUGCGUGUGAUACUGGAUGGCUUGGAUUUGGGAGAGGGAUGCGGAAUUCCCGGUGUAGUGGUGGAAUGCGUAGAUAUCGGGAGGAACACCAGUGGCGAAGGCGGCUUCCUGGACCUGUUCUGACACUGAGGAGCGAAAGCGUGGGGAGCGAUCCGG
rnacentral:rRNA from 1 species